GAUGCGGUUGCUGGAGUAAUGUAACUGUAAAUAUAAAAGUGAAGAGAGAAACUUUAAUAAGAACGGUGCAUUAUGUUCUUUUAGCUUAAUCACACAACUGAUUUCAACGAUAUUUUCAAGAGCGCAAAGUAUAAUAUAAAUUUCGGAUAGUAAAUAAUUGUGUACACUACAUAAGUAUAACUUUGCGUAUUCAUUCAAUUAAUUAAGAUGAACAGAUACAUAUAUCCUAAAAAUCUUCAUUGAUCCGUCUUUCACUAAGAAUAAUGAGGAAUAGAUUGACUGCAUAGACUGACUUCAACAAGUAAAAGCCAAAAAAAAUAUACAAAGAAAUUCUCGAAUCAGUAUUUGAGCCUUAACUCUUCACCCUAGAUGUUACUGUAAUAGUGCCCCUUAAGAACAUAACAACAUAAUUUAAAUAAGUAAUUCAAUUAUAUUGCCAAAAAUUUAUGAAAAUGAACGAUACAAAUAAAUGGAUGUACUUGCAUAUAUAUUUAUAUUAUAUUAUGUUGAUCUAACAAAUAACUGCGAAAUCGUCAGCAGACAAAACACGCGGAUUUAUUUAUUCUACACACACACUUGCACAGAUGUUUAAAAGCAGAUCCUUUUCAAUAUUUUGAAAGGAAAAUUUAAAUGGAUAGAUGACCUACAACAUCAUGCAAACAAUUAAUUAUGGCCGACAAGCUUAGUUGAUGAACGAUUAGUAAAGUGAAAAGUGUUUUUAGUGGAAACAAACAAAUUAGUUGAUCACAAGUGAGCAGACUUACAAACCAAGUAUGUUCACGUAACCGGCAGGAAAUUCAUCACCAUGCUUGAAAGAAAAUAUACUCAAUAUUUUCUCUAUAUGAGAAUGUUUUCAAUUAUUCCAUAUUACUCCUCUAAUCGUCUACAUUGAAUAUCUGUAUUAAGUGCACUUAACUGAAGCCCUGCACCAUGGUGACUUUGAAACUAUCGCAAAUAAAGCUAUUAAGAUUCUACAAACCA